rnacentral:rRNA from 1 species
UACGAAGGGGGCUAGCGUUGUUCGGAAUUACUGGGCGUAAAGGGCGCGUAGGCGGUACUUCAAGUCAGGCGUGAAAGCCCCGGGCUCAACCUGGGAACCGCGCUUGAGACUGGAGAACUAGAGUUCGGGAGAGGAUGGUGGAAUUCCCAGUGUAGAGGUGAAAUUCGUAGAUAUUGGGAAGAACACCGAUGGCGAAGGCAGCCAUCCGGACCGACACUGACGCUGAGGCGCGAAAGCGUGGGGAGCAAACAGG